UACGUAGGGUGCGAGCGUUGUCCGGAAUUACUGGGCGUAAAGAGCUCGUAGGUGGUUUGUCGCGUUGUCCGUGAGAUUCCCUGGCUUAACUGGGGGCGUGCGGGCGAUACGGGCAGACUGGAGUACUGCAGGGGAGACUGGAAUUCCUGGUGUAGCGGUGGAAUGCGCAGAUAUCAGGAGGAACACCGGUGGCGAAGGCGGGUCUCUGGGCCUUACCUGACGCUGAGGAGCGAAAGCGUGGGGAGCGAACAGG
rnacentral:rRNA from 1 species